AAAAUAACAGCAAUUAUAGCUAUGGGUUUUAAAUAACUUAAUGUUUCGAUAGCCGUUUAGCAUAACAUUAGCAGCUUUUGUUUUGAAUUAAAAAUAAAUAUAACAGCAAUCAUAGCAAUGGGUUAAGUGACUUAACAUUUCGAUAGCAGUUUACAUUUAACAUAACAUUUCGAUAAAUAUUUGUUAUUAUUUACAUCCGUGCAAUCUGGGCACACUUAGUUAAACGUGCUUGUUGAUAUUGUAGCAAAUAAGCAUUACAAUUAGAUCCGGGCUGCACUUCACAGGAUAACCACAUCAAGCUGGGAUAUUGCGCAAUUUAUGGGCACCCCUCGUCGCUGGAGUUUGUCGGCAGGCUUAUGUUAGCCCAGCGCCAUAGCAUGACAUCAGGGAGGCGUAAACACCCGAAGGCGAGGCUGCAGUCCUUGGGCCAAAUGUGUUUUGCAGAUCAAGGGCGUCUGCAUCCUUCAGGCAAGGCAAGCAUCGUGAUGUAGGCAUAUAUACCAAGGAUGGCCUUCACAGCUGUGUAAGGUCGGUGACUACAACCAGGCCAGGUUGAAGACUCCAUCUAUGGUUACGUCUAUGCAGAUGUGCACUGGGAGUACGCGUUCCAGUCCGAUUGUAGGCUGCAAAGGGCAGUCCAUGUGGGUCAGCUUUUUUAUCUAUAUAUAUAUUUAUUUAUAAUCCAACUUAUUACUAAAACUAUAGCAACUUUUUUGAAUUUAAAAUAACAGCAAUUAUAGCUAUGGGUUUUAAAUAACUUAAUGUUUCGAUAGCCGUUUAGCAUAACAUUAGCAGCUUUUGUUUUGAAUUAAAAAUAAAUAUAACAGCAAUCAUAGCAAUGGGUUAAGUGACUUAACAUUUCGAUAGCAGUUUACAUUUAACAUAACAUUUCGAUAAAUAUUUGUUAUUAUUUACAUCCGUGCAAUCUGGGCACACUUAGUUAAACGUGCUUGUUGAUAUUGUAGCAAAUAAGCAUUACAAUUAGAUCCGGGCUGCACUUCACAGGAUAACCACAUCAAGCUGGGAUAUUGCGCAAUUUAUGGGCACCCCUCGUCGCUGGAGUUUGUCGGCAGGCUUAUGUUAGCCCAGCGCCAUAGCAUGACAUCAGGGAGGCGUAAACACCCGAAGGCGAGGCUGCAGUCCUUGGGCCAAAUGUGUUUUGCAGAUCAAGGGCGUCUGCAUCCUUCAGGCAAGGCAAGCAUCGUGAUGUAGGCAUAUAUACCAAGGAUGGCCUUCACAGCUGUGUAAGGUCGGUGACUACAACCAGGCCAGGUUGAAGACUCCAUCUAUGGUUACGUCUAUGCAGAUGUGCACUGGGAGUACGCGUUCCAGUCCGAUUGUAGGCUGCAAAGGGCAGUCCAUGUGGGUCAGCCAGGGCUUCUACUCCAGUUCUCGGCCAGUGCAAUAGGGACGGCACGCUUUCACCUAGCAAUCUCUGAUAGUGUCGCCUUGGGCGCCUGGUCAUUUGGCGCCAUCUGGAUAUUUCUCGCUGUCAUGGUCCAGCAUAUUAGCAAUACAUUGAUAUGUAUGUAUUUGCAAGAACGCUGUGUGUGCUUCUGUGGUGAGUUUACAUGUAUUCGAGGAGCUGUAGUCAAUGUUCUUCGCUGCUCUAUGGCAGUGUCUGCAUCCAGUUCCUGUUCCAGUCUAAUCGUUAUUCUUUCCAGUCCUUCGUCAAGUAGCAGGUCCUGCAAAGCGACCUGUAGUUUCUGUGGACACAUGGCCUGUGGCUGCAACGAGUAUGGAGCAGUUUCUGGGAUGGUCGCUAUUUGUUGCAGUGGUCUAUCAUUGGAUAUGGAGUCUGGCUCAGCUGUUGUCACUUCAGCUUGUGCUUCUAUCCUCGCAGCCCAUGUAGUCGUUGACAGUGCUAUUAUUGUCUCAAU